rnacentral:rRNA from 1 species
AUUGAACGCUGGCGGCAGGCCUAACACAUGCAAGUCGAGCGGAGCGGCGGACGGGUGAGUAAUGCCUAGGAAUCUGCCUGGUAGUGCGGGCUAACGUCCGGAAACGGGCGCUAAUACCGCAUACUAUCAGAUGAGCCUAGGUCGGAUUAGCUAGUUGGUGGGGUAAAGGCCGACCAAGGCGACGAGCCGUAACUGGUCUGAGUGGGUGAUCAGUCACACUGGAACUGUGCCACGGUCCAGACUCCUAGUGGCGGCAGCAGUGGGGAAUAGUGGGCAAUGGGCGAAAGCCUGAUGCAGCCAUGCCGCGUGUGUGAUGAAGGUCUUCGGAUUGUAAAGCACUUUAAGUUGGGAGGCGUUACCAACAGAAUAAGCACCGGCUAACUUCGUGCCAGCAGCCGCGGUAAUUC